CAGGGAAGAAAUCGGCGGGGCGAAUAACCCUGCUGGAUGACGGUACCUGCAGAAGAAGCACCGGCUAACUACGUGCCAGCAGCCGCGGUAAUACGUAAGGUGCGAGCGUUAAUCGGAUUUACUGGUUUUAAAGCGUGCGCAGGCGGCCCGUUAAGACAGGUGUGAAAUCCCUGGGCUCAACCUAGGAAUUGCGCUUGUGACUGGCGGGCUCUAGUACGGUAAAGGGGGGUGGAAUUCCUGGUGUAACAGUGAAAUGCGUAGAGAUCAGGAGGAACACCGAUGGCGAAGGCAUGCCCCCUGGGCCUGUACUGACGCUCAUGCACGAAAGCGUGGGGAGCAAACAGGAUUAGAUACCCUGGUAGUCCACGCCCUAAACGAUGGGUACUAGCCGUUUGGUGCGCGAUAGCGCUUAGUGGCGAAGCUAACGCGUGAAGUACCCCGCCUGG
rnacentral:rRNA from 1 species